CAAGUGUAGACUGUAGACAGCGUGUACACAUUUUUUAUGGUGGAAGCCUCAUCAUCGCGCAUGGCUCUCUUGCCUGAUCCCCUUUUCAUCUCCUUCUAUUCCAUCUAUACAAAAUUCGUUCCAGCCAUGAACACCAACUCAGUUUCCCUUCUUGAUUCCUUGCCGUGACCUUGCUGGUACACACCUGCAUGCAUCUCUGCAGCUCGGCUGACUGUCGCGGCCACGAGGUGGCCAUCUCGUGCGCCUGAUUUGGCUCCUCGUUCUGCCAGGCCGGUCAAUGGCGGUGGAGGGUUAGCAGGGCUCGAUGAGAAGCUGCGCAAUGGAGGAGGCGAGCUUGUCGAUCUUGACAGUGCCGCUGCUGUCGGUGUCCUUGGAGGCGACGUGGGCGUGGAUCUCAUCUCCCACAUCCAGCUUGAAUCCACCUCGAUUGUGAGGAUGCUGGCGGCGUUGUUUUCCAUCACAUCGUGGCGGCGUCCUGGAGCGAGGCGCCCUGACAGGUCAUCUUCAUCCUCGGCAAUGGAAGCCUCACGUCGUCGGCUCAUUCUUCACCUGCAGGGUCAUAGGUGCAUAACUGCGUUGUGCGUGGUUUGUCUUUACCUUCAGAUGGUACUUACUGGAGGCUCACUUGAUGGACCGAUGGCACAAUCGAGGAUAUUGGGGCACUUGCUUUUGAGAGUUCUUUUUCUUCUUUGAGGGAAAGCCAUCAUGGUGGUGUAUAUUAAUUUGGAGUGAUAGCUACAUCAUCUGCAAAAACCCCAAGUGAAAAACCUGAAGGGUUGCCUAUGAUGGGUACAAGUCUAACCUAUCAUGAGUUUUUUUAUGGGAUCAUGAGAUUGAAUGUGAGGUUGGUGUAAAUAAUAUGUGAUGGACUGUAAGACUGAUUGUGAGAUUAGUAUAUAUGGUAUUAGGAACAAAAACAAAAGAGAAUUACAUGCAAAUGAUUAGUGUAGGGUUGUUUGGGAGAAGUGAUCAACAUACC